rnacentral:lncRNA from 1 species
GGUCUGCAAUUUAGAUAAUACUCAAAAUUAAAUAAAACCAUCUAGGCAAUUCACUUUCUCUCGUCACAUCAUUUUUCCUCUCUUCAAAUCACUUGCAGAAAAUAAAGCAAAUAUAAAUUACCUAUGUAAGUUUAGAUGUGGGGGUGGGACUUGGCCGGCAGAGUAUGGGAAAGGGAGGUUUACGAUGUGCAGCGUACCUCAUCACCUUGGCUUGAUACUCUACAAGAGGCCCAUUCUCAUACUCCCGAGCCAUAAACGUUAUAUAAACCUUCAAAUGAGGUCCCCCACUUAUAUUACCUCGCACAAUACUCACCAAUUCCACACACUUUCCCUAUCAAACAUUAUAUGUUAUAGCAGUGGGAUCCAUAUAUACAUAUAUAUUUCGAUUCAAAAUCACAUUACGCCCAUCAUUCAGACUCGUCACUGACCUUGUCCUCGUUGAGUUUCUUAACGCACACGGAAGCCAGCUCUGUCAGCUCCUCAUUAAUAGUCCUGUUUUUACCCGCUGGUUCGUCCAGAUUACCAAAAUUGUGGAUUCCGUUUGCGAAAUCUGGUAUAAACCCCUGGGAAAAGCAACAGAAAGAAUCAUUUCAUCAUCUUCUUUUGUUGUAAUCUGAGGCAAAAUCGUUGUUGUAAAAUGAUACAAAGAAACAAAAAAAAAACAAACACAUUUACCUUACUCUCCCAUUUCUGGCGCUGGUCAAGACGGUAUUCAUUAUACUCGUCUUCGUCUGAGAAAUACUUACGAUCUUCGGGAUCUGAUUGGUAUUCGCGACCGUCGUAGCUGUCCACAUCCCACUCCGGUUCCUCAUCUGGCACGUCUUUCAACCUCAUACCUCCCACAUAGAUUUUAUAACCGUCGUCUUCCUGGUCUUCCUCUUCAAGUUUGGGUUUUGUCGUGACUGGAGGGGCAGAUUCCUCCUCCGCCUUCGAAUCUCGUUUCGCCGUCUGAACAUCCAUCGAUUGGAGAUCCAUUAUCGGAAAUGCGAAACCCUAGUAAAUAGAUAAUUUGGGAAUUCCUGAUUCCCAAAAUUCAUGGCUCGUGGUUAAAUGCCAUCACCUUAUUACUUUUGGGCCUUGUUAAUAAGACGGAUGUUAACGAGUAUUUGGGCUACGAUGCGAAUUCAAGUUUAAAAGAAUAAGUCUCGUGACUUGUAAAAUAUGUAUGUACAAGACAAAUUUAAGGUUCGAUGACAAAAAAAAAAAAAAAAAAAAAAAAAAAAAAAAAAAAAAAAUAUUAAGGUUCAGCAGAUUUGUAAUGAGUAUUAAUUACGGCAACAAAGUCUACCAUUAACCAAAUUCAAUAAAGCGUGUAAUGUAUAUAGUAUCGCAUAAAGACCCUUAUGAAACACUCUUACCCUUCCAUCCUAAUAUGUCGUUCCAAACACUCUUUAACAUUUUUUGUGCGUGUACAUAUUGGCUUGGUACUCAACAAGAGGCCCAUGACGAUACUCCCCUUAUUAUUAGCUUCUCCCCUUUUAGUAAAGCUCUCACAACAUUUACCAUUUUCAGUGUUGUUCCCUGUGAAAAAAAUAUAUGUAUAAAAUACCAAAAGAACCCAAACACGAAAUUCAUUUUCUUCUUUUUUACAUAUAUAUAUUCAUUUGUUGAUUAAGUGUUCUUUAUCUAUGAAAUAUAACCUAGUUUGAUAUAGUUUCACUACAUUAUAUUGCUUUGACUUAAUCGAGAUGAUAAUGAAUUUGAAAAUAUUAGAAAUUCAAAACAAGAGAAUCUUCCAAAACUACAUACGGUCUUCAGAAAAUUAAAACAACUACAAAGUUGUUCCCACUGAGCAAAAUGUAUGUCUUAAUUAAUUAGUGAUAGAUAAGGGGUUUAGGAGAUGGUCUGCAGAGAAUGGGAAAGGGAGGUCGAGAUCGUCCAGCGAAAUCCAUGGCCUUAGCCUGGUACUCAAUGAGAGGCCCAUUUGGAUACUCCCGAGCCAUAAAUGUUAUAUACAUCUUCCAUCUAGAUCCUGCAGUCAAAGUGGCUCUCACAAUACUUACAAAUUCCACAGUUAUUCCCUGAGAAAGCAAGAAAGAGACAUUGAUCAGUCUAAUUAUUAGAGUUGAAUAUUCUGAAAACAAAGCUUUUCUUCUAAUUGAAAUAGUGAGUGCUGACCUUAUAGUCGUUGAGUUUCUUAACGCACAAGGAAGCAAGAUCCGUCAAGUACUCCCUAUUGGUCAUGUUUCUACAACCUGGUCCAUCCAGAUCGUGAACAUUGCCGAUGAAAUUGAGUGGAUCUGGUAAAAACCCCUAAACACACACACAAAAAUAGACUUUUUAAAUUAAUAAAAAUUGAAGGUGAAACAGAGAGUCAGAGACUUUGGUAUAUAUCAUAUAGUUUUGUAAGGAAGAAAGAAUGCAGUACCCGAUUCUUCAAAGCCUGGAUCGAGUAUUCGCGGUAAUCCAUGUAAGCAUUCUCGCUAGCAAAGCUGCCACGGAUCUCAGGAUCUGAUUCGUAUUCGCGGCCAUCAAAGCUGUCCACAUCCCACUCCGGUUCCGGUUCUACUGGGUCUUCUAGCCCUAUGUAUUUCCCAUACGGCACUCUUCCAUCGCCUACUUCGCCUUCAAAUACCCCAUCGUCUUCGCUCUCGGUUUCGCUUUCAAUGUAUUCGUCGUCUUCCUCGUCGAACUUCUGCUUUUUCAUCGGCGAAACUUUAGGCUUGUUAUCGUCCGACGCUGAAGCUCGUUUCGCCGUCACAUCGCAGCUUAUCAUGGUAGUCAUCGUCCUCGCAACAACGUACAAACCCUAGAUAUGGUCCCUUUGUGAGAUUUGGGAAUUGCCCCAACUAGACGACGAUACGAGUACCAAGAUUAAUGAUGCUCGUUUGCUGUGUAUUUACAGAUAUGCCCAUUCAGUAGCAUUUUCGAAAGAAAAUAUGGGCCAUGUAUUAUAUGGUUCAAACCCAUCUCGAAACGCAAAUAACUUAACGACUAUUCCGGCCCGUUUAUUUACGGAGCGUAUCAAACUCAAACUAACCAAUGGUUUCUGAUGGUCUAGCUUGAAUAUGGAAGGAAGCAUUUUUUUAUUUAUUCAAUAGACUUACUUUUUCUCUAUUGAAAUUUUUUUAUUCACAAGUUUUUUACUGCUAUUUAAUAAAUUUAAUAACUCUGUUGAUGGAGAUAUGGUCCAAAACUCACCGAGAGUCGGUUCGGUUACAGAGAUUUAAGUUGGUAAUGAUGAACAUGAUAGAGAAAAAGAUAGAAGAUAAUUUGUGUUCUUGUUUAUUAUUUGAUUUCCCAAUAUAUUCAUAAGUUUUGAUAAAAUCAUGUUUUGACAUACCAACCCAAAAUAGACUACAUUUUUUUAAAUAUUAUUCAUAAUUCGCUUUACUAUAUAACCGUGAAUUUAACAAAUUUAGACGUAAAAUACCCGUAAUUUACAUAGUUUGAUACAUCAUAUGGUGUAUCGAAAUAAAUUAUUGAUAUUAAAUUUGAUUUAAUCAAUAUUUGAAUAGUAUAUUUUGUUAAUAAGUUUUUGUAUUAAAAAAAAAUUGAUUUAGUCAUCUAAUUUAGAACCCGUAAUUCACUAAGGGGGUGGUAUUGGUUUGUGACUUAUAAAGAAUUUAGAUGACUUUAAUAAAAUCAUAGAUUGCAUGUAAAUGAAAUCAUCUAAAAGAUUGUUAUAGAGUUUUUUUAGUAAUCUUGCUGACUUGAUUUCUAUAAUCUUGUAAAGUCUUUCCAACAAUCUCUCUAUUUUGAUAAUACUUUCCAUGACUUUAAUUUAUAAAGAAAAGGGUUUAAAAUCAUAAACCAAUAACACAAUAAUUUAAUUUAUUAACAAUCAAAGAUUCUUUUGUUUUAAUUGAAUAACUCAAAAUUUCUAAUGACUUUAUAUAAUUCUGAAUCCAAUAACCCCAUAUUUGUUAAGAUUUGAAAUGAGUUUUUAAAAAUCAGUAACCAAUAACACCAAACUUUAAAAGAGUUUAAUAAAAUCCUGAUAGAAUAACAACUGAUUUUACAUAACAUUUGAAGUCUUUAAAACUCUCUAUAAAUCACUAACCAAUAACACCCCCUAAAAGUGAAUAACUUUUACAUAUAAUUUGAAAUCAAAUUUUAUGUAAGAUUUGGUAUUACAAAAUAUUUGGUUUAAAACUUAAAUAGUGAUGUGUCAUAUUUUGACCCGUUACAAAACUAUCAAUGAUUUCAAUAUAUGUUCUGAUCCGUUGCAAAAUUAUCAAUUAUUGUAUAUAUUUAUAAUAUUUGAACAUUUUAAAAGUUCUAAUAUUUAUAAUAUAUGAACCUUUUAAAAGUUUCAAUAUUUAUUAUAUUUUAUACAUUUUAAAAUUUUAACAUUAAUAUUUUGAAACUUUUAAAAAGAUUUAAUUUGCUUGGAUUAUACCAAAAAUCCGUUGGAGAAGUAUUUAAUUUACAUACAAACUCAAUUAAAUAUCCGAUUUUAAAGUAUCCAAUUAUGUUUUUUGGAUUAAAUUUUGAAAAUUGACUCUAUUCAAAACUCAAAUGUACUUCUCUAUCACUACGUGGAAGAUUAAUAUAUUAUAAAUUCUUGGGUAUUAGACUUUCCUACAAAAAAAGCGCAUUAUCAUAUAUAUUUUUCUUUGGAUUACCAAGUGGAAUAGUUCAUACGUUAUCUUCGAAUCCUCCAUUGUUGGUACAUAAUGAAAAAAGAGAAAGGCCACUGAAUGUACUAAUCACCAUCACAUGUGAGCACUACUCUUCUUUUGUUAAGUUGUUUCCAAUCAAAAUCAACAUCUAUCUUCUUCUUCUUUUUUUAACUCCAUUAACCUUCAUGAAAGCAUGAUUGGUGGCAUCUCACAUCUUCUUCCAUGGAAGGAGAAAUGUUAAACCUAACAUUCCUUUUAUUUGUUUUUAAAAGUAUCCCAAAAUCAUCCAAAGUUUCUCCUUUAAAUCUCACCAAAUCACAAUGUAGUUUUUCCCUUUUAAAAUAUAUAAAAAAAAACUAACAAUUCCACCAAAUAUCUUAAAAACUCAAUUAAAUCUCUCAAAAUAUGAAAUUCCCAAAAUUCCACAAAAUCAUCCAAAAUGUUGAAUCCAAUAAACACCCUCAAAGUCAAAACGGUGAGUUACCGUUUCUAGAGGCCUACUUAGAAAAAAAACCGGUUCCAUUUCAUUCGACUACUACUGUAACCAAAGUCACCAAAUUCAUAAUCCAAAUGAUAAGAUACAUAGCAUCAAACACUAAACUCUAUAAUUGUAACUCACAACUUUCCGCUUACAUUCAGAUAAACUAGAUCGAGAGCCUAACUUGAAUAUGUCUUCAUGCUUCACAAGCUCCCGCCUCAAUUUAUAAGGGUCUGUAAAUAACAGAUAACCAUCUAGGGAAUUCAAUUUUCUCGCAUCACAUCAUUUUUCCUCUCUUCAAAUCACUUGCACAAAAUAAAGCAAAUAAAUAUUACCUAUGUAAGUUUAGAUGUGGGUUUAGGGCUUGGUCGGCAGAGUAUGGGAGAGGGAGGUUUACGAUGUGCAGCGUACCUCAUCACCUUGGCUUGAUACUCUACAAGAGGCCCAUUCUCAUACUCCCGAGCCAUAAACGUUAUAUAAACCUUCAAAUGAGGUCCCCCACUUAUAUUACCUCGCACAAUACUCACCAAUUCCACACACUUUCCCUAUCAAACAUUAUAUGUUAUAGCAGUGGGAUCCAUAUAUACAUAUAUAUUUCGAUUCAAAAUCACAUUACGACCAUUAUUCAGACUCGUCACUGACCUUUUCCUCGUUGAAUUUCUUAACGCACACGGAAGCCAGCUCUGUCAGCUCAUCAUUAAUAGUCCUGUUUUUACCCGCUGGUUCGUCCAGAUUACCAAAAUUGUGGAUUCCGUUUGCGAAAUCUGGUAUAAACCCCUGGGAAAAGCAACACAAAGAAUCAUUUCAUCAUCUUCUUUUGUUGUAAUCUAAUGCAAAAUCGUUGUUGUAAAAUGAUACAAAGAAACAAAAAAAAAACAAACACAUUUACCUUACUCUCCAAUUUCUCGCGCUUGUCAAGACGGUAUUCAUUGUACUCGUCUUCGUCUGAGAAAUACUUACGAUCUUCGGGAUCUGAUUGGUAUUCGCGACCGUCGUAGCUGUCCACAUCCCACUCCGGUUCCUCAUCUGGCACGUCUUUCAACCUCAUACCUCCCACAUAGAUUUUAUAACCGUCGUCUUCCUCUUCAAGUUUGGGUUUUUUCGUGACUGGAGGGGCAGAUUCCUCCUCCGCCUUCGAAUCUCGUUUCGCCGUCUGAACAUCCAUUGAUUGGGGAUCCAUUAUCGGAAUUCCUGAUACCCAAACUUCAUGGCUCGUGGUUAAAUGCCAUCACCUUUUUACUUUUGGGCCUUGUUAAUAAGACGGAUAUUAACGAGUAUUUGGGCUACGAAUUCAAGUAUAGAAGAAAUAAGUCUCGUGACUUGUUAGAUAUAUUUAAGGUUCAGCAGAUUUGUAAUGAGUAUUAAUUAUGGCAACAAAGUCUACCAUUAACCAAAUUCAAUAUAGCGUGUAUAUAUAGUAUCGCAUAAAGACCCUUACGAAACACUCUUUCUAUGUUAAUAUAUGUCGUUCCAAUUUCCAAACACUCUUUAACAUUUUUUGUGCAUGUACAUAUUGGCUUGGUACUCAACAAGAGGCCCAUUACGAUACUCCUGAGGUUUCUCUUUCAGUUUCAGUUUCAGUUUCAGUUUCGGUUUCAAUGUUUCCGUCGUCUUCCUUGUCCUCGUCCGACGCUGAAGCUCGUUUCGCCGUCACAUCGCAGCUUAUCAUGGUAGUCAUCGUCCUCGCAGAGCAACGAACAAAACCUAGAAAUGUCCCUGAACGUGAUUUUGGAGAAUUCUCCAACUAGAAGAUACGGAUGCCAAAAACAUUAAUGAUAUGUGCCAUUCAGUAGCAACUUGGAAAGUAUAUAUGGGCCGUGGAUUAUAUAUAACCAAAUGUUAUUAGAAAAAUGCUCAUUUUAUAUGCGAAACACGUGAAGACGAGAAAGGUUAUUAAUUUAUUUUGGGUAGGGUUUAGACGAAUAUUCGUUUUUUGGCCCUAGGUUUAGACUGCUCUUGUGAACUUUUUUUUUUUUUUAAUUUCUUUGUGUGUUUAACAAGAACUAAAGUUGUGUGCAAACUAAUAAUUUCAAAUUAAUAUUCUUUUUUUUUACAACACAUCAUAGUACAAACUACGUAUUCUCUUCAUUUUGUCUUAAACCAUCGGUUCAUUUGCUGACGAGAAAGACAAAAAAAAAAAAAAAAAAAAAGACCCAUGGUUUCUCGCUGACCCUAAGAAAGUAAAAUAUAAUUUCUCAGUCUCUGCUAGCUUGUCGUCAACAUACCACACUGCAAUUUAGUCAGAAACAUUAAUAGUUAUAAAUUUGAAAUACAUGUCUACCUUACAAUUUUGGCAGAAACAGACAGACAACAAAAAUUCCCCUAUAGGCUAUAUCCCAUGACGAAAUAGACACAAUGAACAAGAAGAAGACCAACAGAAGAACUAGAUUUCUAGUUUAGGACUUGGUCUGCAGAGAAUUGGGAAAGGAAGUAGCUCGGGUUCCGUUAUAAAAUGUAACACCUUGGCUUGGUACUCAACAAGAGGCCCAUCAGGAUACUCCCGAGCCAUGAACGUGAUGUACAGCUUCCAUUUAGCUUGUCCACUUACAGUAACCCUCACAACAUUCACCAAUUCCAAAGUCUUUAUCUGUGUACAAAAUAUAUAUAUAAGAUCCAAAUGAUCCAACACACGAAAGUCAUAUUCAACUUCUUCUUUUUUAAGUAAUUAAUCAUUCUACAUGUACUAACCUUUGAGUCGUUGAAUUUCUUAAUACACACAUUAGCAAGAUCUGCAAUUAAAUCCCUCUCACCGUUCUGCUUAUCUAUAUGAAGGUUGUAGAUUCCGCUUAGAGGAUCAGGAAGAAAACCCUAUAUUACAAAAUCAUAUUUUUGUUAAAACAAAGCAAAUUAGUCUGAAAAAAAUUCUAUUGUUGCAAGUACCAAACUAAAAAAGGAACGAGAGCAGUACUAAGACAAGAAGAGGUUGACUUAAAACCAAUGAUUAAACAAGAAACAAUAUAAUGAUAUAUAUAUGUAUACCUUACUCUCGAAAGCCUUAAGCCUGCUGUUGUAGUAUUUGUCAUAAAGUUCCUGGCUGGAACACAUUUUACGAAUCCUGGGGUUGAUUUUGAAUUCGCGACCAUCAAAGCUAUCGACAUCCCACUCUGGUUCUCUUUCCGAAACGUAGCUGUACUGAGCCCACUCGCUGUCGCUGCCUACAUCGCUAUCGCCAUCGCUAUCGCUGCUAUCGUCGUCUUCAUCCUCCUCCUCCUCGACAUUUUGCUUUUUGAUGCGAGAACAAGAGUCAGCGUCCUCUUCUAACUCCCAUAAAUCCUUCGUUAAACCUCGUUUCGUCAUCGAUUCAUCGCUAAGUACGGUAGCCAUUUUUGAGAAACGAAGAAACCCUAGAACUAGAAGAGAUCAAUUCCGAUUUGGGAUUACAGAUUCAACUAAACUGAUAUGUCAUCACAACAAGUAUUUGCAGUUAUACCCUCACCUUACAUUAAAAUUGUUGUACUUGGGCUCCGGCCCAUUAAUAAAAGACCUUCUUUUAUGCGUCCCACUAUAGACCCAACAGUUUUGUAAGCAUAUCUUUAGCCGCAAUGGAAAUGCAUUCCCAUCUUUUGUUUCGACGAACAUGUAUGUGCAAAGCUUUGUUUUCUAACUUUUUAUUCAGCCGCAAUUCGUUAGGUUGUUGGAAAGUCUCGCCGACCAAUAUAAAAUGGCGAAACGUGAAACAAAAGCAAAAUAAAUCGAAUGAAAGGAAGAUCAUUAGUGGCAGAUGUCGUAGAUGAUAUGGCAAAGAGUUCAUUAUAAUACUAUGUGAUAGACGCAGUGGGAGUUAUACUAGCAAACGUUCAGCACAACUUCAACGGAUGCAUGCAUCAUAUAUGGUCUUUGCGAGCCAAUCUUCAAGUCUUCAACUAAAGAGAGAAGAGGAUAUUAACCAAAUUUAUGUAUAAACGUAUCAUCUCAUCAAAUUUGAGUAUUGUGCCCCCCAACAAAAUCAGCACAGUUUUUCACUUUGUAAUAAUAUAUAGACUUUACAUGAUACGUCACACACUUGACUCCACCAAAUAGUAACUUGUAGCUUAAUCCACCGAGACCACAUGAUACAUAGACAAAUCUAUUGUUACGGUUUAAAAAACCAAUGAAAUUGAAGGAUAUAUUCUUAGUCAAGUAAGUGAUUUAACUUCAGCUGUACGUAGUUAUUAUAUAUACACAGACCAGGAAUAAAUAGUAGUUAGCUUACUCGUGAAAGCCUCGAGCCUGUCGCUGUAGUAUUGGUCAUAAUUAAAGUUCCUGAUUGGGGUACAUCUUACGAACCCUGGCAUUGAUUUAAAUUCGUGACCAUCGCUAUCGCCUAUGGACAUUCCACUCCGGAGCCCACUCACAAAAUAAACGAAGAAACCCUAACUAUAACAAAAUUCAAUUUGGGGAUUCCUUAUUCCAACAAACUCAUAGCCACUUUUUUAUUCGACUUAUUGAUGUAAACUUGUACCGUUUGGAUUAUUACAAAAUUUAAUCUUUUUCGACUCGAUCAAUAAGGAUUUCAUUGGGUUCAGUUUGUUUUCUCAUCUCUAGUAUCGUACUUUUUUACAAUAAAUAAAUAAAUAAUAAUAAGAAUAUACACUACAAUGAUUACUAUUUUUUGAAGAAAAAAAAUUACAUGUUACGAAACAAGUUUUAGUUAAUAAUAAUAAUACCCUUUGCUGGCUUGGCUUGUCGUCAACCUAACACACUGCAAUUUAGUUUACGUACGUACCUUACAAUUUUGGCAGAAACAUGGCUAUGAUCAGAAGAAUAAUAUAAUACCCUUGAUACAUAUAGAACUAGAUUUUUAGUUUAGGACUUGGUCUGCAGAGAAUUGGGAAAGGAAGAAGCUCCGGUUCCGUUAUAAAAUGUAACACCUUGGCUUGGUACUCAACAAGAGGCCCAUCAGGAUACUCCCGAGCCAUGAACGUUAUGUACAACUUCCAUUUAGCUAAUCCACUUACAUUAACCCUCACAACAUUUACCAAUUCCAAAGUCUUUUCCUGUGUAUAAAAAAAUUAUAAAAUCCAAAUGACCCAAAAUUCUUCUUCUGAAAAAAAUAAUAAGUAAAUCUUUCAACAAACUAACCUUUGACUCGUUGAAAUUCUUAAUACACACAUUAGCGAGAUCUGCAAUUAAAUCCAUCUCACCGUUCUGCUUCUCUAUAUGAAGGUUGUAUAUUCCGCUCAGAGGAUCAGGAAGAAAACCCUAUAUUACAACAUCAUUUUUUUGUUAAAUCAACGUAAAAUUAGUCUGAACAAAUCUAUUGUUGCAAGAAAAAAAGAAAAAAAAAACGAGAGCAGUACUAAGCGAAGAGGUUGACUUGAAUAGAUAAUACCACGCACCAAUGAUUAAACAAAAAACAAUAUAAUGAUAUAUAUACCUUACUCUCGAAAGCCUUAAGCCUGUUGUUGUAGUAUUUGUCAUAAAGUUCCUGGUUGGGAUACAUCUUACGAAUUCUGGGGUUGAUUUUGAAUUCGCGACCAUCAAAGCUAUCGACAUCCCACUCUGGUUCUCUUUCCGAAACGUAGCUAUACUGAGCCCACUCGCUGUCGCUGCCGACAUCGCUAUCGCUAUCGCUCUCGCUGUCGCUGCUAUCGUCGUCUUCCUCCUCUUCCUCGACAUUUUGCUUUUUGAUGCGAGAACAAGAGUCGCCGUCCUCUUCUAACGCCCAUACAUCCUUCUUCAAACCUCGUUUCGUCAUCGAUUCAUCGCUAAGUACGGUAGUCAUUUUUGAGAAACGAAGAAACCCUAGAAGACACAAUUCCGAGAUUCCACCAAACUGUAAAAUAAUAAUUUCACAAGAAGUCACAAGUACAUAUGGUAUUUGGCCAAUUUAACAAAAGACCUUCUUUAUUGUCCAAAAAAAAAAAAAACCUUCUUUUAUGCGGCCCGCUAAGAGCAACUCAAUCGGUUUGAGACCGUAUGGGUUAGCUAACUAUACUAAUUUGUAUCAACGAUACGUCGAUACCCAAAGUUUUGUUUUACAAUUUUUUCCCCCUAAAUUAAUGAAAAGAUGAGAACCAUAGUAAGCAGAGUAAUUAAGGCUCCGGUAAGAAAAGAUGAUUCAAGGUGGGUUAAAAGUGCACUCUUUGCAAUAAAAUAAGCCAUAUACUAUAUAGAAUUGGCUAAACGUGAAACAUACGCAAAAUAAAUCGAAUACUGAAAGGAAGAUCCUCUGCGUGGCAACUGGCAAGGUGGGUUAAAAGUGUGACUUCAUGGUAAUAUAUGACUACUCAUGAGGAGUUUGAACAAGCUAACGUUCAGCACAACUUCAACCCAUCAUAGUCUUUGCGAGCCAAUCUUCAACUAAAGAGACAAGAGAAUUUAACCAAAUUAAUUUGAUCAAGAAUCAAGUAUAUAUAUAAACGUAUAUCAUCUCAAUCUUAGUACUGUGUGUCCCCCAAACAAAAUCAGCACAGUGUUUCACUUUGUAAAAGAUUGACUUAUACAUAUCUAAGGUUUAGAAAAAAAGGAUUAGUCCAUGAAGGACCUCAUGAUACGUCAAUACACACUUGAUCCCACCAAACAGUGACUUGUAGAUUAAUUUACAUAUGAAAACUAUACCGUGAAUGCAUCUUAGUAUUCGUGUCAAGGGCUUUUCCCAGAAGAUUAGUAUAUUAUAUACUAAUCAAUUUUACCUUUACCACGUACUGUUGCAUGUAAGGUUAGGUGGUGGUUUAGGGCUUGGUCGGCAGAGUAUGGGAGAGGGAGGUUUAUAAUGUCCAAUAUACCUCAUCACCUUGGCUUGAUACUCUACAAGAGGCCCAUUCUCAUACUCCCGAGCCAUUAACGUUAUAUAAACCUUCCAAUGAGCUCCCCCACUUACAGUAAGUCGCACAAAACUCACCAAUUCCACAAAAUUUCCUUCCAGACUUUUAUGUUGUGAGAGUAUCUGAACUAUGUGGGUGCUCUUUACGUCUCUACUACUGUUACGUAAGUCC